rnacentral:tRNA from 1 species
CAGGACAUGGCUAAACAUAGCAAAAGCAUCUCACUUACACCGAGAAGAUAUCCGUGCAAACCGGAUUGCCCUGA